GGGUCAGUAGGUUGGUCGUGCCACCGGUACGUACUGUUCUCACUGAUUCCUCCUUCCUGAAGAACCGUAAUGCCAUUAAUUUGGUGUUGCGGGGAAACAGGACUGUUACUUUGAAAAAAUUAGAGUGUUUAAAGCAAGCUAACGCUUGAAUAAAUUAGCAUGGAAUAAUGAAAUAGGACGAUCGAUCCUAUUUUGUUGGUUUCUAGGAUUGACGUA
rnacentral:rRNA from 1 species